rnacentral:rRNA from 1 species
GUCUGCGGCCCUGCUACCCUGAACAUGCCUGAUCCCAUCAGAUCUUGGAAGCUAAGCAGUGUUGGGCCAGGUUAGUAUUUAAAUGGGAGACACCUAGAAAGAUCAGGUGCUAUAAGUA